CCCCUAGAUGUUCUGGGCCGCACGCGCGCUACACUGAACAGUUCAACAAGUCUUAACCUUGGCCGAUAGGUCUGGGUAAUCUUUGAACGCUGUUCGUGAUUGGGAUAGACCUUUGCAAUUAUGGGUCUUCAACGAGGAAUUCCUAGUAAACGCAAGUCAUCAGCUUGCAUUGAUUACGUCCCUGCCCUUUGUACACACCGCCCGUCGCACCUACCGAUUGAAUGGUCCGGUGAAAUCUCGGGACGGCGGCUUGGUCGCUUGCGUCCGACUGCUGAAACUUGAUUAAACCAUAUCAUUUAGAGGAAGGGGAANUCGUAACA
rnacentral:rRNA from 1 species